rnacentral:rRNA from 1 species
CAGUCGCCACGGUAAUACGUAGGUGGCAAGCGCUGUCCGGAAUUAUUGGGCGUAAAGGGCUCGCAGGCGGUUUCUUAAGUCUGAUGUGAAAGCCCCCGGCUCAACCCAUAGUCUGCACAGGAAACUGCGAGGCUUGAGGUUGGGAGAGGUGAGUGGAAUUUCCGGUGUAGCGGUGAAAUGCGUUGAGAUCGGAAAGAACACCAACGGCGAAAGCACUCUGCUGGGCCGACACUGACACUGAGAGACGAAAGCUAGGGGAGCAAAUGGGAUUAGAUACCCCCGUAGUCCCUGUCUCUUAUAC